AUUCUUUCGCAGAGGCAAUAUUGUAGCCUAUGAGGCUCAUCCGAGGCGCGAUCAUUGCUGGUUGAAAACUUUACCCAAUACCCCGCCAGGAUGACUUGAAAUACAGUCACCUCGUCACUUGUGCGAGUUCCUGACUGCUCUCUGGGC